CUCCGCCGCCGCGCUGCCCUCCCUCCCUCCCCUGCCGCCGCUCCGAGACCAAGACAUCCUGACAUAAUCACGGGGCUCCUUUGAAAACUGCAUCAAGCAAUUUAGCAGUUAGAGAGGGAGGAAUUAUAUCCGUUUGAAAAGAAACCUCACACACGUAGGGAGGGAAUAACCCUCCAAAACACUCGGUAAAUUUCCCUCGACCGUCUUUACCGCCGAGGAAAUAUCCUCCAGCCUAAAAUCCCUUUCCGAAGGGGCGUCCCGUUGCUCUGGAGCCGAGCGGAGGAGGCUACAGCUGCAGCGAGGAGCUCUCCACGGCCAAGUCCCAUUUCGUUCGGGAACGCGGGGACCCUGGAGGUCCCCCCAUGCCGCCCCAAAUCCUGCACGCUCUCUGUGCUCUGCACACACAUACACAUAUCUGCGUGUGUGUGUGUGCGCGGGGAUACAGACAGGCAGAAAAACCCCACGCAGAGCUUGGAGAGAGCACAAGCUGUCUCUGGAUUUUGUCAGAGAUAAAACAGGCCGGGGACAGUCAGAACAAAAACCAAGGGGACUCGGGAUGGGAUUGCCCAGAAUUUUCCUCUUCUCCCUAAUUUUCGCAUCAUUCUCCCACCCGUCGCCGUGGCCGUUUCUCUGGGAUGUCUCCCGCACAACCCCCGGCCUCUCCUAGCCCGGCCGCGGCCGCUGAGCUCCAACCCGGCCUGCCCCGGGAACACCUCCCGAAGCCCCUCUCUUGAACUUUUCCUGCCCAAGGUCUUCACAGGCUGCUCUCGCUGUCCUCUUGGCGUCUACAUGGAGAAAAUCUGGCAGGGGCUUCCUUCCCAGAAAUCCCCGAUCUGCUCCAAGCGCACUGAGAGGCAGCCUCUCUCGGAGGGAGGGGUGCGCUACGCUCGCAGUCAGAUUACACGGCUGGCCUCAUAGGCACUAGCUCCGGAUUUCCAAACUAAUAUUCAUCCCUUAAAAGACGAAGAAAAUGAGAGGAAGGUCUCAGACGCGGGAGACCUCGGGGGAUUCGUGACCACAGCGGGGAGGAGAUGUGACCCAUGCAGGUCGUGUCUGGAGGGGGGCUGACUGACUUAAAGGAGAGGGCGAAGUGCCUAAUUUAAUUCUUUCCCGGACGCCCUAAACCCCAGUCAGUAUGUGUGAGCGUGCUGCGAGCCCUUCAUAGGAGCGCAGUCCUCGGCGGGAGGGGCGGGAUCCCGGGCCGCCAAGCGCCGAGACGAGCGGGGCUCCCAGGAGCUGGGCCGGGAUGGGGGGCUCCGGGAGAGCCCGGGCUCGGUCACCCCGGCCUCUGCCGAGCAGGUGGAUCCCCUCCGAGGAGGUGUCGCAGGCAGCCCUGGCUCCCCCGAGCACCCAGAGCCUCGCGUGGACGGGGCCUCUCUCCCCACUCAGCCGGGGAUCCAGAGCUGGGCAAAUACACGGGGGGCUUCCCACGGGCCUCUCCAAAGAGAAGACGGGCUCUGAAACCCUCACCCCUCUAUUUCGGCCCUGGACAGCCGGGCCAGCGGUGGUGCCGCCGGGGGCCCGUCUCAGAGGCGGGGGGCAGGGACCAGGACCGGGAAAAGGCCUUGCUACCCGGGUUCCUCUCUCCGGCCCCGGAACAACGAACAUGGACCGCCACUUGGGGUUUUUUUUCUUUUUGACUCUAAUUGAGAGUCCCUUCCUCCCUCUCUCCGAACCACCCCGCCUUGGGCUCUGCACAGCGCGGCCGUGGUUCCGCGCAGCUGUUUUCAUCUCGGAGGUGUCGGACUCGCGGUUCCAAAAUGUCGUUAGUUAGCGCGGGAUACCCGUAACCUCCCCGGGUUUACACGCGAAGCCCUGACCCGCACCCAGCCGUGCCAGACUCCGGCUCUUCUUAAACGCCAACACGUGCGGGGGAAGCGGGAGGAAACACCCGGAGGUGCGGGCGGGCGCGGUGAGCAGCGCGGGACCGAGAGGCCCCGAGGAGCAUCCUCUCUCCCACCGCUCCCUUCUCGGUCCAUCCCGGUCCCACCCCAGUCCUAUUCCUGUCCAUCUUGGCCCAUUCCUGUCCAUCCCGGUUCAUCCCUGUCCAUCCCGCUCCAUCCCGGGCCCAUCCCUGUCCAUUCCAGUCCCAUCACUGUCCAUCCCAGUCCCAUCACUGUCCAUCCCUGUUCAUCCUGGUCUGCCCCGGGCCCAUCCCGGUCCAUCCCUGUCCUUCCGGGUUCAUCCCUGUCCAUCCCGGA